GCCAGAACAUGUUCGGCUGGUUGGAAUCGGGUGCCUUUGGGCGUGCGACAUGAGACUAGUUGGGCAUGGAAUGUGGCCUUCUAACUUGUGCUGCCUUCGGGAUGGUGGAUGGUCGGAGCGACGACAAAGCGUGCAAGGUGGGGUGGAGUUGGGUGCCUUCGGGCGUCCAACAUGAGCCUCGUCGAGCGUGCGGCGUUGUGGUGACGCCGUCGGGCCAUCCUUGGGGCAGCCCUAUGUUUUGAAGGUUGCGUGUUGGCAGAACGUGCACGGUUGGGCGGUGUCAAGUGCCUUCGGGCGUGCGACGUGAGCCUCGCUUUGCACGGAAGGUUGCGAUGCUUCCUUCGAACUCGGGCCGUCUCUAGGAUGGUUGAUGGCCUGACCGCGCACGACGCUUUGGGC